CCUACGGGGGACAGCAGUGAGGAAUAUUGGUCAAUGGACGAGAGUCUGAACCAGCCAAGUAGCGUGAAGGAUGACUGCCCUAUGGGUUGUAAACUUCUUUUAUAUGGGAAUAAAACAGGGUAUGCAUACCCUCUUGUAUGUACCAUAUGAAUAAGGAUCGGCUAACUCCGUGCCAGCAGCCGCGGUAAUACGGAGGAUCCGAGCGUUAUCCGGAUUUAUUGGGUUUAAAGGGAGCGUAGGUUGAUUGUUAAGUCAGUUGUGAAAGUUUGAGGCUGAACCGUAAAAGUGCAGUUGAAACUGGCAGUUUUGAGUACGUUAGAGGUAGGCGGAAUGCGGGGUGUCGCGGUUGACCGAUUAGAUAUCACGAAGAACUACGAUUGCGAAGGCAGCUCACUAGACUGAAAAGGACACUGAUGCUCGAAAGUGUGAGUAGCAAACAGGAGUAGAUACCCGAGGAGGC
rnacentral:rRNA from 1 species